GAUUCGUCUCUUCCGGUUUUCAGGACACAACCGCUUUCAUAUUUGUCUUUUUCUUUUUUUCUAAUUCUUUUAGGAAAGCUUUCGUCUGACGCUAAGGUCACUCUGGUUUUAGGGUAAUCUUAAUAUUUCCUUCUGCCUGCCUCUAGACGGCUAUGACAAAGUUCGCUUUACUCGGUUCUCCCUACAUAAUCCAAUAGUGUGGUGUUUCAGAUGGUUCUAAGUGCGAGUGCGAUCACACAGUGCCGACGAUGAUCUCGCAUUAAGAGUCUCUUGAGAUUGUACUGCGAAUGGGCAAGCGUUUGCCGCCUGUUACGGUGUCCCUCCACGAUGUUCUUGGCAUGGUCUUGCCGGAGGAUACACGGCUUCAGUCAAGUGAUAUCUUCUUGGUUGCGUCAAGACACUGAAAUCUCUGUCCGGGUAUAUUAAAGCCGCUGUGUAGUAUCCGAAUGCUUAAAGCUUCCUUAUUAGGUUAAGGUCGUGCCUCAAGUUCCAAACCCAUGAGGUGUAAAACAAACCAGGUAUGACUUCAGCAAAUUAAUAUUUAGUGUUUCGAUCCAUUCCUAAUUGGAUGCAUGAAUUUUGGAUUACUAGAUGAGGUCAUUGUUACGUUGUUAGUGUCUGUUUUGGUUGGUUGUAUGAAAACCUACUUUCUGCUCUCUUAACCUAUUUAAGUUCCACUACAUAUUCCAAUCAGUUACAAAGGAAGGGUAUUACUCUUUCAAAUCAUUGAUCAAAUGCAAAUAGAUUGACAACUGAGAACUGAGAAGGCCUUAAGUCCGGCAGAAUUGAGAAAAAACAUUCUGACAUUGUGAAUACUAAGUUAUUGCCAAAAGGACCAUCUCCUACAAAGAAAUUCAUUGACGAUCUUUUGGACUUGAGCAAGUUGUAUAGCUUAUCACCCUAAUUGGCUUCACUGUAUGACCCUUCUCAGCAUGGCAUUGUGCUUUGCAAGUCCAUUUAUAAAAGCAGACUACAAAAAGGCCGAGUUAAGUUAAUUUCUCUUCAAUGCUUGGGGCUUUUGUAAAGGCAAGUAGUUCAGCACGACAUCUGAUUCUGAUACAAACCAUAUAAGACGUUGUUAGAAUGCAUACAUUGAAAGCGGCAAUGCAUUCGAAGUUAAAUAUGUUGCCCUUGAAACCAAUUUAUUGGUUAUAUUGUGACAAAGGGAGCCUAUAAAAGAAAAAGGGCAAAAUAUUUAACGAGUCCAUUAAACCAUAUAUGAGAUUGUCGGAAAUCGGAAUAAAUGCAUUGAAAGCGGCAAUGCAUUCGAAGUUAAAUAUUUUGCCCUUGAAACCAAUUUAUUGGUGAUAUUGUGACAAAGGGAGCAUAUACAAGAAAAAUGACAAAAUAUUUAACGAGUCCACUAAAUCAUAUAUGAGAUUGAAAUCGGAUACAUGCAUUGAAAGCGGCAAUGCAUUUGAAGUUAAAUAUUUUGCUUUGAAACCAAUUUAUUGGUUAUAUUGUGACAAAGGGAGCUUAUAAAAGAAAAGGGGGCAAAAUAUUUAACGAGGCCACUAAACCAUAUAUGAGAUUGUCGGAAAUCGGAAUACACGCAUUGAAAGCGGCAAUGCAUUGGAAGUUAAAUAUUUUGCCCUUGAAACCAAUUUAUUGGUUAUAUUGUGACAAAGGGAGCCUAUAAAAGAAAAGGGGAAAAAUAUUUAAUGAGUCCACUAAACCAUAUAUGAGAUUGCGGAAAUCGGAAUACAUGUAUUGAAAGUGGCAAUGCAUUGGAAGUUAAAUAUUUUGCUCUUGAAACCAAUUUAUUGGUUAUAUUGUGACAAGAGGAACCUAUAAAAGCAAAAGGGCAGAAUAUUUAAUGAUUCCACUAAACCAUCUAUGAGAUUGUUAGAAUACAUGCAUUGAAAGUAGCAGUGCAUUGGAAGCUCAAUAUUUUGCCCUUGAAACCAAUUUAUUGGUUAUAUUAUGACAAGAGGAGCCUAUAAAAGCAAAAGGGAAAAAUAUUUAACGAGUCCAGUAAACCGUAUAUGAGAUUAGCAGAAUACAUGCUUUGAAAGCGGCAAUGGAUUGAAAGUUUAAUAUUUUGCCAUUGAAACCAAUUUCUUGGUUAUAUUGUGACAAGGGGAACCUAUAAAAGCAAAAGGGCAAAGUAUUUAUCGAGUCGAUACAAUAGAUCGUCUUUCAAUCUACCCGAAGUUGAGAAAGCAUUAGCUAAGUUGAAACCUCUAAGACUAAAAGUAGAACUAUAGUUCUGACUUCUUGGAAGCACAAAAUAAGUGAGCACAUGAAUAUGGUUUUGAGAAUGAACAAUUCAUGACUCUGUAAAACAUGGCCUAGUGGUAGAUAUUCACAUAUUUUCGGAUCUUAUCUCUUUUUAUUCUAUUUUGCGGUCAUACUCUUAAGGCUCAAGUCUAAGUGAAUGAAAAAAAAGGUAGGAGGAUUGCUAUUUCUUGAGGCUGAAAUUAAAAAAUUAUUGUCUUUACAUGCUGUCUUGUAUUUCCACUUGGAUGGUCAUUUCUUAAUGGCUGUCUUUUUCAAGCUUGAGGGAUUGUUGAUGAUUGAACUAAUUUUUUCCUUGAACAGGAUAUAAUGAGGCAAACAGGAGAGAAGCCUUUACUGCUGUUUUGGACGUAAAUUCUUUUUUGCGCUUUUAAUGAGGAAUUUAGUUUUGUCAUUACCUCAUUGCCUUUAUGACGCCUGCACAUUUCACACUUGUUAGAUUCAGGCACACUUUGUCAUUACUAAUCUACUUUGCUUUGCUAAUAUACUCUAUGGGGCUUUUACAGAUUAUUGGCUGCCUUUUGCAACAUACUGUCUUGGGUAUGACUAUGUACUUGUGUUGGUAGUGGACGACGCUUCUGAAGGAGCCUUGUUGAACACUGAAAGAGAGAAUCCUUGUUUCAAUGAUAUCUUCUAGGUUGCGUCAAGCUACUGAAAUAUCUGUUUGGGUUUAUUAACGUUGUGAUGUAGUCUACAAGUGCUUAAAGCUUCCUUAUUAGGUUUCGGUCAUGCCUCAAGUUCCAAUCCAACAAGGUGCAAAGAAAAACCUGGAUUAUAUCUUAAAAUCAGGAGAUGCUUGCUACUUAAACUGUCUGAAUGGUUUUCGCAAACUAAGACACAUAAUGACCAGUGUAGCUCUCUCCUCUUAUGUGAAAAUAUCUGGUUUUGUAUUCUGGGAACCUUUCCAGCCAGUUGACAAGAAAGGUGUAGGCAUCAUCUGCUGCACUUUUAUCUCCAGUUUGGUUAUAGUUGGAUGAAUAAGAAAAGCCUAUCCACUGCUGGGGAUUCCAAGAAUAUUACAUUUGCCACUGGCAUUGAUCACUGAAACAGUGAGUGAUUUUUUUAAUAUAGGAGAAACAGUGUAAGAAUAAAGAGGUCAUGCAAGAUCAGGAAUUCUCCUUACUUGCGUAAACAAAAUCACCUGAUUCUCGUUCCCGGUCGCAAGUGAGAUGUCUUCAGCAGAACUGAGCUUCUCUUCCAAUUUACCUACAUCAGCUUUCUUUUUUCUUGAAUAGAUUGGUUCGUGAAUAUACAUACUCCUUUAAGCGUGUCUAUAUUCAGACCGAAAUGGACUUGUAUUCAGCAAUUCAAUUUUGAAUAGAUAAUAGUGCAGAUGGUAUUGAGUUGAAGACUCAUCUGUAAGAUCUUUUGAGAAGACUGCGUUGCUGCUAUCUCCCAUGGAUGCAGCAGCAGUUCGAGUUUAAAUGACGAGAGUGUAUAUGUGGACAAUGUUCAUCACUUGGAAGAAGAGUCAAAAGCCUCCAUGGA